GAUGAACGCUGGCGGCGUGCCUAAUGCAUGCAAGUCGAGCGAACAGACGAGGAGCUUGCUCCUCUGACGUUAGCGGCGGACGGGUGAGUAACACGUGGAUAACCUACCUAUAAGACCGGGAUAACUUCGGGAAACCGGAGCUAAUACCGGAUAAUAUAUUGAACCGCAUGGUUCAAUAGUGAAAGACGGUUUUGCUGUCACUUAUAGAUGGAUCCGCGCCGCAUUAGCUAGUUGGUAAGGUAACGGCUUACCAAGGCAACGAUGCGUAGCCGACCUGAGAGGGUGAUCGGCCACACUGGAACUGAGACACGGUCCAGACUCCUACGGGAGGCAGCAGUAGGGAAUCUUCCGCAAUGGGCGAAAGCCUGACGGAGCAACGCCGCGUGAGUGAUGAAGGUCUUCGGAUCGUAAAACUCUGUUAUUAGGGAAGAACAAAUGUGUAAGUAACUAUGCACGUCUUGACGGUACCUAAUCAGAAAGCCACGGCUAACUACGUG
rnacentral:rRNA from 1 species